AGAGUUUGAUCCUGGCUCAGGACGAACGCUGGCGGCGUGCCUAAUACAUGCAAGUAGAACGCUGAAGAGAGGAGCUUGCUCUUCUUGGAUGAGUUGCGAACGGGUGAGUAACGCGUAGGUAACCUGCCUUGUAGCGGGGGAUAACUAUUGGAAACGAUAGCUAAUACCGCAUAACAAUGGGUGACACAUGUCAUUUAUUUGAAAGGGGCAAUUGCUCCACUACAAGAUGGACCUGCGUUGUAUUAGCUAGUAGGUGAGGUAACGGCUCACCUAGGCGACGAUACAUAGCCGACCUGAGAGGGUGAUCGGCCACACUGGGACUGAGACACGGCCCAGACUCCUACGGGAGGCAGCAGUAGGGAAUCUUCGGCAAUGGGGGCAACCCUGACCGAGCAACGCCGCGUGAGUGAAGAAGGUUUUCGGAUCGUAAAGCUCUGUUGUAAGUCAAGAACGAGUGUGAGAGUGGAAAGUUCACACUGUGACGGUAGCUUACCAGAAAGGGACGGCUAACUACGUGCCAGCAGCCGCGGUAAUACGUAGGUCCCGAGCGUUGUCCGGAUUUAUUGGGCGUAAAGCGAGCGCAGGCGGUUUGAUAAGUCUGAAGUUAAAGGCUGUGGCUCAACCAUAGUUCGCUUUGGAAACUGUCAAACUUGAGUGCAGAAGGGGAGAGUGGAAUUCCAUGUGUAGCGGUGAAAUGCGUAGAUAUAUGGAGGAACACCGGUGGCGAAAGCGGCUCUCUGGUCUGUAACUGACGCUGAGGCUCGAAAGCGUGGGGAGCGAACAGGAUUAGAUACCCUGGUAGUCCACGCCGUAAACGAUGAGUGCUAGGUGUUGGAUCCUUUCCGGGAUUCAGUGCCGCAGCUAACGCAUUAAGCACUCCGCCUGGGGAGUACGACCGCAAGGUUGAAACUCAAAGGAAUUGACGGGGGCCCGCACAAGCAGUGGAGUAUGUGGUUUAAUUCGACGCAACGCGAAGAACCUUACCAAGUCUUGACAUCCUGCGACGGUCCUGGAAACAGUACUUUCCUUCGGGACGCAGAGACAGGUGGUGCAUGGUUGUCGUCAGCUCGUGUCGUGAGAUGUUGGGUUAAGUCCCGCAACGAGCGCAACCC
rnacentral:rRNA from 1 species